rnacentral:rRNA from 1 species
UGGGGAAUCUUGGACAAUGGGCGAAAGCCUGACCCAGCAACGCCGCGUGAAGGAUGAAGUAUUUCGGUAUGUAAACUUCGAAAGAAUAGGAAGAAUAAAUGACGGUACUAUUUAUAAGGUCCGGCUAACUACGUGCCAGCAGCCGCGGUAAUACGUAGGGACCAAGCGUUGUUCGGAUUUACUGGGCGUAAAGGGCGCGUAGGCGGCAAUUCAAGUCAUCUGUGAAAUCUCCGGGCUUAACUCGGAACGGUCAGAUGAUACUGCUUUGCUAGAGUGCAGAAGGGGCAAUCGGAAUUCUUGGUGUAGCGGUGAAAUGCGUAGAUAUCAAGAGGAACACCUGAGGUGAAGACGGGUUGCUGGGCUGACACUGACGCUGAGGCGCGAAAGCCAGGGGAGCAAACGGGAUUAGAUACCCCAGUAGUCCCUGAGCGGGCUGGCAAGGCGCAU